rnacentral:misc_RNA from 1 species
CAACUAUCUAUGGUCCCAUAAUUAUUCUUCCCAAGCUCGGAAUUCCUUUACCCAUUUGCCAAACCUCACAAGGAAUUCCCCAUACCAUUUGGCAUGAAUAUCAACCAUAAGCAAAUUUGUAUUUAUGUUUGCCUUUUCUGAAUGGUUAAUGCUUGCUGUAGAAGAUAAACGUUAUUGCUUGAAUUCACAGGGGAAUGGUUCAACGCAGACCCAGAGGCCGUCAUUAAACAGGCACUUCAAACAGGUGGAGGCCCAAAUGUCUCUGAUGCCCAUACCAUCAAUGGAUUUCCGGGACCGUUGCAUAAAUGUCCUACCAAAGAUACUUUCAAG